UAUUCUUAUUCCUUUUCUUAUGUUUUCAAAAUUGUUUUACAAAAAUGUUGUUUUGUGACGAAGGUGAAGUGAAUGUUCAGCUGCCGCUCCCACGGUCAACAUAUUAUUCAGAUUCUUUUUGGAAAACGGUGGCCUGUCCUCCACGACGGCUGCGGAACACGAACCAAACAGGAAUAAACAACCCGUCAGAACCGAACCACCUGUGAACCGGCACAGGGCACCGGAAGGCUUAGAUGGGACGAUCCGGCGUUGGAAACUUCCACAGCUUUGAGGGAAGAAUCGAUAGUGGAUGCCUAGGGCAGCCAAUUGGAAUGUACUAACUGUUCCGGUGUUCCGGCUAAACGGUUGCAAUCUUCCGAUCCAGUCAAAGGAGACUCAAAGUUUGGCGUCGAAACCAUUCAUCAGUUGUUCCAAUGGAACUGUCCGUCAACGAACUUCUUUUGAUAUUUUAACAAUAUGGCUGAAAGAUCUUAAAGUGUUGUCCUGAGAGGCGAAAUUUGGACAAUGAAGCCUAAUUUUCAAACAGUGAUAUUAGGUAAUUGAAAUGUAAAAC